rnacentral:rRNA from 1 species
AGAGUUUGAUCCUGGCUCAGAACGAACGCUGGCGGCAGGCCUAACACAUGCAAGUCGAGCGGCCGUAGCAAUACGGCAGCGGCAGACGGGAGAGUAACACGUGGGAACGCGCCCUUCGGUUCGGGAUAACUCAGGGAAACUUUGGCUAAUACCGCAUAAGCCUGAGAAGGGAAAGCAGAAAUGCGCUGAAAGAGGAGCCCGCGGCCGAUUAGCUAGUUGGUGGGGUAAGAGCCCACCAAGGCAGAGAUCGGUAGCCGGCCUGAGAGGGCACACGGCCACACUGGCACUGAAACACGGGCCAGACUCCUACGGGAGGCAGCAGUGGGGAAUCUUGCGCAAUGGGCGAAAGCCUGACGCAGCGACGCCGCGUGGGGGAUGACGGGUUUCGGCUUGUAAACCCCUGUUGCCCGGGACGAACUUCUCCUUUCGAGGAGAUUGACGGUACCGGGUGAGGAAGCACCGGCUAACUCUGUGCCAGCAGCCGCGGUAAUACAGAGGGUGCGAGCGUUGUCCGGAAUCACUGGGCGUAAAGGGCGCGUAGGUGGCGACCCAAGUCGAUGGUGAAAGCUCGCCGCUCAACGGCGAGUCGGCCACCGAUACUGGGUUGCUUGAGCACUGUAGAGGCUAAUGGAAUUCCUGGGGUAACGGUGGAAUGCUUAAAGAUCCCGAAGAACCCCGGUGGCCAAAGGCGGUUAGCUUGGGCAUUUGCUGACACUUAAGCGCCAACAGCGUGGGGGAGCAAACCGGGAAUUAGAUACCCUGGUUGAUCCACACCCGUAAACAAAGGGGGCCUUAA